rnacentral:rRNA from 1 species
UACGGAGGAUGCGAGCGUUAUCCGGAUUUAUUGGGUUUAAAGGGUGCGUAGGCGGCGAGUUAAGUCAGCGGUAAAAGCCCGGGGCUCAACCCCGGCCCGCCGUUGAAACUGCUAAGCUUGAGUGGAGUAGAGGUAGGCGGAAUUCCCGGUGUAGCGGUGAAAUGCGUAGAGAUCGGGAGGAACACCAGUGGCGAAGGCGGCCUACUGGGCUCUAACUGACGCUGAGGCACGAAAGCGUGGGUAGCAAACAGG